rnacentral:rRNA from 1 species
AAGAGACAGCAGCCGCCGCGGUAAUACGUAGGUGGCAAGCGUUGUCCGGAACUAUUGGGCGUAAAGCGCGCGUAGGCGGAUCAGUUAGUCUGUCUUAAAAGUUCGGGGCUUAACCCCGUGAUGGGAUGGAAACUGCCAAUCUAGAGUAUCGGAGAGGAAAGUGGAAUUCCUAGUGUAGCGGUGAAAUGCGUAGAUAUUAGGAAGAACACCAGUGGCGAAGGCGACUUUCUGGACGAAAACUGACGCUGAGGCGCGAAAGCCAGGGGAGCGAACGGGAUUAGAUACCCCUGUAGUCCCUGUCUCUUAUACA